CACGCGUUAUGACGCAAUGAAAGUGUAUAAAAAUUCGCGCUUCGUGUUAUGACGCUCUCUUGAAGUCGUUGCUUCGCUUGUGGAGAAACGCUUCCAUCAUGAGAGCGAAGUGGAGAAAGAAGCGUAUGCGCAGGCUGAAGCGUAAAAGGAGAAAGAUGAGGCAGAGGUCAAAGUAAACGGCAUCCUGUCUGCUGUAGCUGGGAUCCUGAUCAUCUUGGAUUUCCCUGAGUGAGUCUUGCAGAGUGACCAACUGGAGAGGUGCUGUUCAUCCAUCACCUAAGAAGCUAUCCACACAUGAAGCCAGCCACCACUUUGAAGUGUCCUGUUCCUGGCUGCCCAGUUGGCUCUUUGUCUUGAUGGACUUGCAAAUGUUGGACAUUCCAUACUCGGCUCAGCUUCUUUUGUUAAUACCACCAAUAAAACGUUUUAAAAAUUUA